rnacentral:rRNA from 1 species
UCCCUAGCUUGUCUGAGAGGAUGACCAGCCACACUGGAACUGAUACACGUUCGAGACGCCUACGGGAGGCAGCAGAGGGGAAUAUUGCACAAUCGGCGCAUGCAUGAUGCAGCCCUGCCGCGUCUAUGAAGAAGGCCUUGCGGGGUGGAAAGUAAUUAAAGCGGGGAGGAAGGGAGGAAAGUUAAUACCAUUGCUCAGUGACGUUACCCGCAAAAGAAGCACCGGCUAACUCCGUGCCAGCAGCCGCGGUAAUACGGAGGGUGCAAGCGUUAAUCGGAAUUACUGGGCGUAAAGCGCACGCAGGCGGUUUGUUAAGUCAGAUGUGAAAUCCCCGGGCUCAACCUGGGAACUGCAUCUGAUACUGGCAAGCUUGAGUCUCGUAGAGGGGGGUAGAAU